AUUGAACGCUGGCGGCAUGCUUUACACAUGCAAGUCGAACGGCAGCACAGGGAGCUUGCUCCUGGGUGGCGAGUGGCGAACGGGUGAGUAAUGUAUCGGAACGUGCCUGGUAGUGGGGGAUAACUACUCGAAAGAGUGGCUAAUACCGCAUGAGAUCUUUGGAUGAAAGCGGGGGACCUUCGGGCCUCGUGCUACUGGAGCGGCCGGUAUCAGAUUAGGUUGUUGGUGGGGUAAAGGCCUACCAAGCCUGCGAUCUGUAGCUGGUCUGAGAGGACGACCAGCCACACUGGGACUGAGACACGGACCAGACUCCUACGGGAGGCAGCAGUGGGGAAUUUUGGACAAUGGGCGCAAGCCUGAUCCAGCAAUGCCGCGUGCAGGACGAAGGCCUUCGGGUUGUAAACUGCUUUUGUACAGAACGAAAAGUCUCUGGCUAAUAUCUAGAGAUCAUGACGGUACUGUAAGAAUAAGCACCGGCUAACUACGUG
rnacentral:rRNA from 1 species